AGGGUGGUGGCCCAAUGGUUAGGGUGUUGGACUCUGGAUCAAGUGGUCCAGGUUCGAGCGCUGGCCGUGGUCACGCUA